rnacentral:rRNA from 1 species
GUUGGAAACGACUGCUAAUACCGCAUAAGCCCACGGGUCGGCAUCGACCAGAGGGAAAAGGAGCAAUCCGCUUUGAGAUGGCCUCGCGUCCGAUUAGCUAGUUGGUGAGGUAAUGGCCCACCAAGGCGACGAUCGGUAGCCGGACUGAGAGGUUGAACGGCCACAUUGGACUGAGACACGGCCCAGACUCCUACGGGAGGCAGCAGUGGGGAAUAUUGCACAAUGGGGGAAACCCUGAUGCAGCGACGCCGCGUGGAGGAAGAAGGUCUUCGGAUUGUAAACUCCUGUUGUUGGGGAAGAUAAUGACGGUACCCAACAAGGAAGUGACGGCUAACUACGUGCCAGCAGCCGCGGUAAAACGUAGGUCACAAGCGUUGUCCGGAAUUACUGGGUGUAAAGGGAGCGCAGGCGGGAAGACAAGUUGGAAGUGAAAUCUAUGGGCUCAACCCAUAAACUGCUUUCAAAACUGUUUUUCUUGAGUAGUGCAGAGGUAGGCGGAAUUCCCGGUGUAGCGGUGGAAUGCGUAGAUAUCGGGAGGAACACCAGUGGCGAAGGCGGCCUACUGGGCACCAACUGACGCUGAGGCUCGAAAGUGUGGGUAGCAAACAGGAUUAGAUACCCUGGUAGUCCACACCGUAAACGAUGAUUACUAGGUGUUGGAGGAUUGACCCCUUCAGUGCCGCAGUUAACACAAUAAGUAAUCCACCUGGGGAGUACGACCGCAAGGUUGAAACUCAAAGGAAUUGACGGGGGCCCGCACAAGCAGUGGAGUAUGUGGUUUAAUUCGACGCAACGCGAAGAACCUUACCAAGUCUUGACAUCCCUUGACAGACAUAGAAAUAUGUAAUCUCUUCGGAGCAAGGAGACAGGUGGUGCAUGGUUGUCGUCAGCUCGUGUCGUGAGAUGUUGGGUUAAGUCCCGCAACGAGCGCAACCCUUAUGGUCAGUUACUACGCAAGAGGACUCUGGCCAGACUGCCGUUGACAAAACGGAGGAAGGUGGGGAUGACGUCAAAUCAUCAUGCCCUUUAUGACUUGGGCUACACACGUACUACAAUGGCGUUAAACAAAGAGAAGCAAGACCGCGAGGUGGAGCAAAACUCAGAAACAACGUCCCAGUUCGGAUGCAGGCUGCAACUCGCCUGCACGAAGUCGGAAUUGCUAGUAAUCGUGGAUCAGCAUGCCACGGUGAAUACGUUCCCGGGCCUUGUACACACCGCCCGUCACACCAUGAGAGCCGGGGGGACCCGAAGUCGGUAGUCUAACCGCAAGGAGGACGCCGCCGAAGGUAAAACUGGUGAUUGGGGUGAAGUCGUAACAAGGU